GGAAGAAGGCCCUCGGGUUGUAAACUGCUUUUGCGUGGGAAGAAGCCGCAAGGUUGACGGUACCACGCGAAUAAGGGGCUGCAAACUUCGUGCCAGCAGCCGCGGUAAUACGAAGGCCCCAAGCGUUAUCCGGAAUUAUUGGGCGUAAAGGGUGUGUAGGGGGUUUGGUAAGUCUGAUGUUAAAUCUUGCUGCUUAACGGCAAAACCGCAUUGGAUACUGCCAAACUUUGAGGAUGUGAGAGGUGAGUGGAACGCACGGUGUAGGGGUGAAAUCCGUUGAUAUCGUGCGGAACUCCGAAGGCGAAGGCAACUCACUGGCGCAUUCCUGACCCUGAAACACGAAAGCGUGGGUAGCAAAAAGGAUUAGAUACCCCCGUAGUCC
rnacentral:rRNA from 1 species